AGUGUUUGGUGCAGAGGGGGAUGGAAGGUCCCAGUGCUGCUCCAGCACCCACAGCAGGAGCUGCUUCUCAUUAGGAAAUGCUUUUUAACAUGCUGCCAAAGGCCAUCUGUCUGCUUAUUUGCUGGUGUCCACCCUGCUGGGAGCUGGUGCAGGUGUCCUUCCCUCCAUGUUACCAUCAGUGCAGAACUUUGUGCUCUGCCCUCUCCUACAGAGCCUUUGGCAUGGGCAGGACGAGGUGGCAGCAGUUGGGUGAGCUGGCACCUGUGCAGACCCUGAGCAAAGCCAUUUGGGAGGCUGCCAAGAGAAACGGGCUUGACCAACACCUGCAGGAGCUGCUGAACCAGCUCUGAAGAAGCAUCCCUGCUGCUUUGCUCCCAAAGCAUGGGAAGGGCUCUAAUGCUAUCCCGAGCCUUGCAAAACAAGUGUUGAGUUUUUCUUCCA